ACUCUCGGCAACGGAUAUCUAGGCUCUCGCAUCGAUGAAGAACGUAGCGAAAUGCGAUACUUGGUGUGAAUUGCAGAAUCCCGUGAACCAUCGAGUUUUUGAACGCAAGUUGCGCCCGAAGCCUUUAGGCCGAGGGCACGCCUGCCUGGGCGUCACGCAUCGCG
rnacentral:rRNA from 1 species